AGACUGAAACCGUUCGGGUGGACGUCUGUGGAAUGAGGCGGCGGAGUGGGUGAGUAUCCACGGUGGGUAACCUGCCUGUAAGCUUGGGAUAACUCCGGGAAACCCGUGCUAAUACCAGAUAAGAUUUCCGUUCGCAUGAACGGAAAAUGAAAGGCGGCUUUUUGCUGUCACUUACAGAUGGACCCGCGUCGCAUUAGCUAGUUGGUGGGGUAAAGGCUCACCAAAGCAACGAUGCGUAGCCGACCUGAGAGGGUGAUCGGCCACACUGGGACUGAGACACGGCCCAGACUCCUACGGGAGGCAGCAGUAGGGAAUCUUCCGCAAUGGACGAAAGUCUGACGGAGCAAUACCGCGUGAAGUGAUGAAGGUCUUCGGAUCGUAAAACUCUGUUGUUAGGGAAGAACAAGUGCUAAUCUAAUACAUUAGUGCCCUGACGGUACCUAACCAGAAAGCCCCGGCUAACUACGUGCCAGCAGCCGC
rnacentral:rRNA from 1 species